GCAGGCCUAACACAUGCAAGUCGAACGGUAACAGGUCUUCGGACGCUGACGAGUGGCGAACGGGUGAGUAAUACAUCGGAACGUGCCCAGUCGUGGGGGAUAACUACUCGAAAGAGUAGCUAAUACCGCAUACGAUCUGAGGAUGAAAGCGGGGGACCUUCGGGCCUCGCGCGAUUGGAGCGGCCGAUGGCAGAUUAGGUAGUUGGUGGGAUAAAAGCUUACCAAGCCGACGAUCUGUAGCUGGUCUGAGAGGACGACCAGCCACACUGGGACUGAGACACGGCCCAGACUCCUACGGGAGGCAGCAGUGGGGAAUUUUGGACAAUGGGCGAAAGCCUGAUCCAGCAAUGCCGCGUGCAGGAUGAAGGCCUUCGGGUUGUAAACUGCUUUUGUACGGAACGAAAAAGCUUCUCCUAAUACGAGAGGCCCAUGACGGUACCGUAAGAAUAAGCACCGGCUAACUACGUGCCAGCAGCCGCGGUAAUACGUAGGGUGCGAGCGUUAAUCGGAAUUACUGGGCGUAAAGCGUGCGCAGGCGGUUAUGUAAGACAGAUGUGAAAUCCCCGGGCUCAACCUGGGAACUGCAUUUGUGACUGCAUGGCUAGAGUACGGUAGAGGGGGAUGGAAUUCCGCGUGUAGCAGUGAAAUGCGUAGAUAUGCGGAGGAACACCGAUGGCGAAGGCAAUCCCC
rnacentral:rRNA from 1 species